rnacentral:rRNA from 1 species
GACGAACGCUGGCGGCGUGCUUAACACAUGCAAGUCGAACGGAAAGGCCCUGAGUUUGUGGGGUGCUCGAGUGGCGAACGGGUGAGUAACACGUGAGUAACCUGCCCUUGACUUUGGGAUAACUUCAGGAAACUGGGGCUAAUACCGGAUAGGAGAUCCUGCUGCAUGGUGGGGGUUGGAAAGUGACGGUGGUUGGGGAUGGAUUGGCGGCUUAUCAGCUGGUUGGGGGGGUAGUGGCUUACCAAGGGUUUGACGGGUAGCCGGCCUGGGAGGGUGACCGGCGACAUUGGGACUAAGGUACGCAGCAGACGCCAACGGGCGGCAGCAGGGGGGAGUAUUGCGGAACGGGGGGAAGCCUGUUGCGGCAACGCCGCGUUCGGGAUGACGGCCUUCGGGGUGUGAACCGAUUUCGCCUGUGACGAAGCGUGAGUGACGGUAAUGGGUAAAGAAGCACCGGCUAACUACGUG